CCCCCUCUCUCUUCCUCUCUUCCACUCUUGUAGCCGCCCCAAUUCCUCUCCUCUUGGCUGCAGCCGCCCACUCCCCAUCAAACCCUAGCCACCCCCUUCCUCAAUCCCCCUCCCAAGGUGCAGCCCCUCUCCUUUGGGAUCUCCAUCGAGUGGUGCAAGCCUCUAAUUGGAGAAUUGGUGGAGGAAGAACAAAGAGGUGAAGGAAUAACUCAAGGUGAUCUUAUGUUUAUUUUGUAUUUUUGCUGCGAUUACGUUUGAUUAACCGUUCCCCUAAGCGAAUUGGUGGUAGUCCUGUCCUGAUUUUGGGUGGCAGGCGGACAGAAGUAUUGUGGGCAGUUUCUGGGGUUUUUGCGGCGGUAAUUAGCUGUAAUUACUAUGAUAAUCAUGUAGAGCUUUGUCAUACCUUUCCAACGAGUACUUAUGCGCUCGAUUCGGAGUUAUAAUUUAGGAGAUAUCGCUGUUUGAAUCCGAGUAUGUUGCUGUCCAAAAAACAGAUUUCCGCAGGUGGGCGAACAGCAUUAGUAUUAGCAGAUUCUGGGGAUUUUUCGUGGGAAAUUAGUGAUAAUCAAUAUGAUAAUCAUGUAUAGCUUUGUCAUACCUUUCCAACGAGUACUUAUGCGCUUGAUUCAGAGUUAUAAUUUAGGAGCUAUCGCUGUUUGAAUCCGGGUACGUUGCUGUCCAAAAACAGAUUGCAGGAUGUAUCUUGUGGACGGUUUUGGGCUAAGUAGAUGUGGGAAUUUAAUUAUCUUUGGAAUACAAAACUUGUGGGGAAUUUUAUGUAGAUGCUUCCGGAGUUUUUGAUUGAUAUCACUGCUGUUAUAAUUUUAAAGUUAUGAAAUUAUCAAGCAGCGCCGCUGCAAUUUGGUGGUGAUGGGGAGAGUUGUCGCUCGCGACGGGUUGGAAUUGUGCGUAGGUGCGGCGUGUUUAUUAGCGUUUGUUAUGUGAAUUUGUGCACUAAGGUGUGUGUCAAAAACAGGUGGUGGACUUCCGGAUCGUACUUAGUACCAUUCCAAAUUUCUGGUGAAGGCAAGUAAAUACAGUGGUGGUUGCUACCGUUUGGUUUGCAUCCUAUUCCCUCUCAUUGAGUAUGCAUAAGUUUUAAAUAUAUUAAUCAUUGAAUUCUAUGAUGAAGUUUAUUGGUUUGAAAGUAUUAAUUCUCAAUUGUCUAAUAUUGUGGAUGAUCAUAAUUUGGUAAUGAUAUAUGUGGUUGAUUCCCAUCUUGGAUGAAGUUGAAGUGUCUUUUUGAAUCAUAUUAUAUGAAGUGUUGUAGGCAUAUCAUGCACAUCACAUCAUCCAUCUUGCAUUUUGAAGUUAUGUCGUGAUCUUAUGGUCCGACCGUACCGGUACAUUUUUAGCAUCGUACGUUGCCCGAGGAGGGGUACGAUGCGGCUUCAUAUCCUUAGAGGUAUGAAGGCAGAAGUCAUCCUUGCAUUUGCAGACAUUUGCACUCAUGAGGAAUAUAUGAAGUGUGACAUUACUAUGUUACUAUUGUGGUUUCUACCUGCGAGGUGUGGUAACUAGGUGUGUUGUACGUUGUAUACGUGUUGCACCUUCGUAAUAAGAAGGUUGUGGAAUCAAGUGGUGGUAAAACAAUGUUCUUAUGUGGUUGAACAGUUUGAUAUUAUUUUACUUGCUGAGAUGUGUCAUCUCACUCUUGCAUUACUCAAUGCAGGUACUUGAUAUAUGUUGGGAAUGAAGGGAGUAGCAGCACGUCCACUUUCACUCUCACAAUAACGCUGCCCAGGCGCAACCAUGAUUUAAUUAGAAACUUAUUGUCAAAGAAAGUUUAUUUUUUUAUAUAGUCGUGUGUAUUGGUUAAUUCAGUUCAGGUCGUAUGUUUAUCUUCCCUUGCUAGACGAUUAAUAAUACUUAGUAUGUUUCUGUCAUGAUAUAUGUUUAUACCCUGUUGCCCCCUCAUUUAUGC
rnacentral:lncRNA from 1 species